GACGAACGCUGGCGGCGUGCUUAACACAUGCAAGUCGAACGGAAAGGCCCUGCUUGUAGGGUACUCGAGUGGCGGACGGGUGUGUAACCCGUGGGUUCUCUGCCCUGCACUUCGGGAUAAGCCUGGCAAACAGGGGCUACUACCGGGAAGAGGCCGGUUUUUGUGCGGUGGUUGGAAAGUGUUUUCGGUGUAGGAUGAGCUCGCGGCCUAUCAGCUUGUUGGUGGGGUAAUGGGCUACCAAGGCGGCGUCGGGUAGCCGGCCUGAGAGGGUGGACGGCCACAGCGGGACUGAGAGACGGACCCGACUCCGACGGGAGGGAGAAGUGGGGGAUGGGGAACAAGGAGAGCAAGCGUGAUGCAGCGACACCGCGUGGGGGAGGACGGUGAUCGGGUUGUAGUCGCAUUGCGCUAGGGACGGAGAUUAUAAUGACGGUACCUAGAUAAGAAGCCCCGGCUAACUACGUG
rnacentral:rRNA from 1 species